CUACGGGGUGCUGCAGUGGGGAAUAUUGCACAAUGGGCGCAAGCCUGAUGCAGCCAUGCCGCGUGUAUGAAGAAGGCCUUCGGGUUGUAAAGUACUUUCAGCGGGGAGGAAGGGAGUAAAGUUAAUACCUUUGCUCAUUGACGUUACCCGCAGAAGAAGCACCGGCUAACUCCGUGCCAGCCGCCGCGGUAAUACGGAGGGUGCAAGCGUUAAUCGGAAUUACUGGGCGUAAAGCGCACGCAGGCGGGUUGUUAAGUCAGAUGUGAAAUCCCCGGGCUCAACCUGGGACCUGCAUCUGAUACUGGCAAGCUUGAGUCUCGUAGAGGGGGGUAGAAUUCCAGGUGUAGCGGUGAAAUGCGUAGAGAUCUGGAGGAAUACCGGUGGCGAAGGCGGCCCCCUGGACGAAGACUGACGCUGAGGUGCGAAGGCGUGGGUAGCGAACAGGAUUAGAUACCCUCGUAGUC
rnacentral:rRNA from 1 species